GACGAACGCUGGCGGCGUGCUUAACACAUGCAAGUCGAACGGAAAGGCCCUGCUUUUGUGGGGUGCUCGAGUGGCGAACGGGUGAGUAACACGUGAGUAACAUGCACUUGACUUUGGGAUAACUUCAGGAAACUGGGGCUAAUACCGGGUAGGAGCUCCUGCUGCAUGGUGUGGGAUGGAAAGAUUCGGCGGUUGGGGAUGGACUGGCGGCUUAUCAGCUUGUUUGUGUGGUAGUGGCUGUCGAAGGGUUUGACGGGUAGCCGGCAUGGGAGGGGGACCGGCCACCAGGGGACUGAGGGACGGCGCAGACUCCAACGGGAGGCAGCAGGCGGGAACAUGGCGGAACGGCGGGAAGCCAGAUACAGCGACGCCGCGUGCGGAAAAACCUGCUUCGGGGGAUGAACCGCUGUGGCCGGUGAUGAAGAGUGAGUGACGGUACUGAGUAAAGAAGCCCCGGCUAACUACGUG
rnacentral:rRNA from 1 species